AGCAGCCGCGGUAAUUCCAGCUCCAAUAGCGUAUAUUAAAGUUGCUGCAGUUAAAAGCUCGUAGUUGAAUUUCGGGACUAAUAUGUCGGUCGUGCCUCGGUACGUACUGGUUUAUUGGUUUCUCCUUUCUGAAGAACCAUGAUGUCAUUUAUUUGGUGUCGUGGGGAAUCAGGACUGUUACUUUGAAAAAUUAGAGUGUUUAAAGCAGGCUCACGCUUGAAUACAUUAGCAUGGAAUAAUGAAAUAGGACGUUUGAUUCUAUUUUGUUGGUUUCUAGGAUCGACGUAAUGAUUAAUAGGGAUAGUUGGGGGCAUUAGUAUUCAAUUGUCAGAGGUGAAAUUCUUGGAUUUAUUGAAGACUAACUACUGCGAAAGCAUUUGCCAAGGAUGUUUUCAUUAAUCAAGAACGAAAGUUAGGGGAUCGAAGACGAUCAGAUACCGUCGUAGUCUUAACCAUAAACUAUGCCGACUAGGGAUCGGAUGAUGUUAAUUUUUAAUGUACUCAUUUCGGCGCCUUACGG
rnacentral:misc_RNA from 1 species